AAGCUUUAUAUUACAAGCCAGGGGCCUCGAGGGCUCGAAUAUACAAGAGUCAGCGGAAGCAACAAUAUCUGAGUACAAACAUAAUUUAGACAAGUGUGCCUUAAGAAGGCUAGCACAAAAGCAACAAUGAUCGAAAAGGCAAGGCCUCCUGCCUGGGAGCCUCCUAACUACUCCUAGUCAUCUGCGGUCUUCACGUAGUAGUAGGCAUCCUCCGGGUAGUACUAGUCUUCACUGGCGUCGUCUGGCUCCUAGGAUCCGUCAUCUGGUCGCAACAACCGGGUAUAGGGGAAAAAGAGGUAGCAAAGCAACCGUGAGUACUCAUCCAAAGUACUCGCAAGACUUACAUCAGAUCUAAACCAAGUAUGCAUCUGUAUCGAAGGAGAUGGGUUGUAUCUGUGGACUAAACUGCAGAAUGCCAGAAGGGAAGGGGAAAGCCUAGCCUAUCGAAGACUAGCAUCUUCUGGAAACCACCAUCUUGCAGCAACAGGAGGGAGUAGAGUAGCAUAAAGUAAGUAGUAGUAGUGUUAUCAACCUCGGCCAGAGAUCCUUUCUCGACUCCCUACGAGAAAGCAAUCCCAGAGCCAUACUAUCCAGUUAUCAUCUCAUAUCCAAGUCUCAUCUCCAUGUCUCAUCACAAGUAUCUAGUUCUAGUUGUAUCGAUCGAAAUACAACUCCAAGUGUCCGUUACCGUAGGACAGGCUAUCGAUAGAUGUUUUCUUCCCUGGAGGAGUGCACCAACUUACCCACCACGCUCAAUUAACUCCGGCCGGACACACUUUCCUGGGUCAUGCCCAGCCUCAGCCAAAAAAUACACCGCAACCCGACCUAGGCUUAAUAGAGAGGUCAGCACGCCGGACUAAACCUAUGCCCCCAAGGGUCAUGGGCCAUCUCCCCGGGAACUCCUGCAUGUUGCGUGGGCGGCCGGUGAGCAGAUCUAGCUACCUCCUUCAAAAAGGUAGGUGCUUACCAGUCCAACCCGGCGUGCGCCGCUCAGUCGCUGACGUCUAUUAAGCUUCAGCUGAUGUAUACGACGCAGAACGCCCAUACUAUGCCCACGUGAUGGUUAGUGCUAUCAGGCCAGAGGCCCCUCGGAUGAAAUAUCCAAAUCGUAGUGGAUUAGGAACGCGCGGUAACGAGUAGAGACUCAUGAUCGAUGUGACCCCGUCACCCCGUCUCAAGUACUUGCGACAAGGGCUAAGAAUGCCCGGCCACGCCUCGUAAGUAUCUCGCGGGCACCUUCCAGGUCAACCCGACUCCACAUCACUCGCUAUUAAGCUUGCACGGGUACCCCUCAGGGCCUACCCAUCUUUAGUAACAUGGUUCAGUUGUAAAGCCAUAGUAACCAUAGUAACUGUGUGUCUAACACCAAGGGGGAAAACCGAGGAAUCACCCCCGGUGAAUUCCACUCGAUGUUAUCAUCAAGGUGAACGUAAGAGGAUCCACCCUCGAGGUUCACACUUGAGAAGUUGCACGACAGAGCCGUAACGGAAGUGGUUAAGGAGGAAAUCACCCUCGAUGACCAUGAUCGAAUAGCUACACUACAGGGUAACAUCAGAAGUGCUGAUGAGGUCUCACCCCCGGCACUCGAUAGCAACCCAGUAGUGUCGAGCAAACAAGGGGAAAGUGAUGUGCGGUGUCGGGGCCAGGUCUUCUAUCCCGUUGAUCGGGUCUUCAAUGAUGAAGCAGGGGCAACAAGGACAAGGUGGGGGGGUCACUGAUGGAUCACUAACCAACCUAUACUAAGCAGUUUAGGAUAAGCAGGUAAGGUAUGAAAGGAGGUAACAACAACAGGCUAUGCAUUAGAGUAGGAUCAUACAGAAAGUAGUAGCAGUUCUAAUGCAAGCAUGAGAGGGAAAGAAAUGGGCGAUAUCGGAAUGCUCAAGGGGGGUUUGCUUGCCUGGUUGCUCUAGCAAGGGGGGGGUCGUCGUCGACGUAGUCGAUCACAAGGGCAGCAUUGGUCUCGGGGUCUACCGGAGAGAAGAGGGGGAAGAAACAGUAAAUACAAAGCAAACAAUGCAUCACAAAAAUAUAACAAGGCAAAACACGGUGCAAGGGGUGACCUAACGCAGUACUAGGCGAUACUGGUGAAGGGGAGAAACAUCCGGGGAAAAAAGCCCCGGUGUUCCGCGUUUUCGGACAGAUGAAACGGAGGAGGAAAGUUGCGUGUUCGCUAUGCUAGGGAUGCGUGGCGGACGAACGAGUUGCGUAUCUGGAUUUGUCUCGUCGUUCUGAGCAACUUUCAUGUACCAAGUUUUUCGAUCCGAGCUACGGUUUAUUUAUAUGAUUUUUCAAAGUUUUACUCAUUUUUUGAAAUUAUUAUUAAUUCAAAAUUAAUAUGAGAAAAUGCUAUGGGUACCCAGCCUUGUGUACACAGAGGUUGACAUGUGAGCCAAGGGACCCAGUUGACCAGUCAAAGUUUGACUGGUCAACAAAGGGUGGGGGUCCCCUGUCAUUGACUGACUAGUAAACUAACAACUUUAGUUAGACUAAUUAUGUAGUUAAUAGGUUAAUUAACAUGAUUAAUUAGAUUAAUUAAUUAAUUGACUUUAUUUUUAUUAUUUUUAAAUCUUUUUUUAUUAAAAUGUUCCAGGGCAGGGCCCCACAUGUCAUAGGCCCAAAGGGUUCUAUCGGGCGCCGGGUGCAGCGGCAAACGGGCGCCUGGAGCGGCGCAACCCGGCUGGGCUCCCGCCCAAGUCGACAGGGGAGGGAAGGGCGCCAGGGCGCCGGCAGCUGCGGCGAGCUGCGCCGGGCAGGAGGCAGCAGAGGAGGUGGCGCGGCCCGAGUAGAGGAGGGGGACGCUCGCGGGGAAGCAGGGGGAGACGGAGGCAAGGGGCGCCGGUGGCCAUGGCCAGAGCGGGGAGGCGGCGGACGCCGGCGAAGGCAGCCGCGCGGGGAUGGGGAGCAGGGCCGGCCGUAGCCAAAGUCAGGUGCGGACGGGGCGCGGCCUGGGAGCGUGGUGAGCACAACCGCAGAGGGAGGAGGAGGCCAGUGGGGUUCCUCACCCGCGUUGCAGGGGAGGCCCGAUGCAGGGCGAACGCGACGGCAGGGAGCGGUGGAGUCGAGGAGGUGUUCCGGCGGGGUCCGACGAGGCGCGAGGCGGCGGCGACCUCGACGGCGUCGAGCAGGCGUCUGGCCACGAGGGAGAGGGGACGGGGCCGCGAGGAGGACGGCGACGUCGGGGCGAUGGAGGACUAGGCGGCGACGGGCGGCGACGCGGCGGUCCGGCGAGGUGGCGAUGGUCGGCACCGAGGCGAGGUCGCCAGGCGAUGGCGCGUCCAGAUCGGGGGAGAGGGGGCGCCGCGGCGAGGUCUGGCGCAGUGGUGAUGGUUGGCGGGGCGCGGGCGAUGGUGAGCUGCGAUGUGGCNNN
rnacentral:lncRNA from 1 species